AUGAUGAGUCCUGUCCAGUUCCUGUUUCUGCUAAUGUUCUGGAUUCAGGAAACCAAUGGUGAUGCUGUGAUGAUCCAGACUCCACUGUCUUUAUCGGUUACCAUUGGACAACCAGCCUCUAUCUCUUGUAAUUCAAGUCAGAGCCUCUUAGAUAGUGAUGGAAAGACAUAUUUGAAUUGGUUAUUACAGAGGCCAGGCCAGUCUCCAAAGCGCCUAAUCUAUCUGGUGUCCAAACUGGACCCUGGCAUCCCUGACAGGUUCAGUGGCAGUGGAUCAGAGACAGAUUUUACACUUAAUAUCAGCAGAGUGGAGGCUGAGGAUUUGGGAGUUUAUUACUGCCUGCAAGCUACACAUUUUCCUCUCACAGACCCUAAAAAAACUUCCUUGCCUGCGGCAGCCCAGCUGGCAAUGUGCCUCUUGACUGGAGAGGAGCAAAACACCCUGUGUGUGAUAGAGAGAGAAGAGGGAAAAACAUGA